rnacentral:tRNA from 1 species
GACCCCAUCAUCCAGAGGCCUAGGAUGCUGGCCUUUCAAGCCGGUAACACGGGUUCGAAUCCCGUUGGGGUCGCCA